AAGUCCCGCAACGAGCGCAACCCUUAUCCCAGUUGCCAUCAGGUAAAGCUGGGAACUCUGGGGAGACUGCCGGUGAUAAACCGGAGGAAGGCGGGGAUGACGUCAAGUCCUCAUGGCCCUUACAUCCCGGGCUACACACGUGCUACAAUGGCAGGUACAGAGGGCUGCAAAGCCGCGAGGUAGAGCGAAUCCCUUAAAGCCGAUCGUAGUCCGGAUCGUAGUCUGCAACUCGACUACGUGAAGUCGGAAUCGCUAGUAAUCGCAGAUCAGCAUGCUGCGGUGAAUACGUUCCCGGGUCUU
rnacentral:rRNA from 1 species